GACGAACGCUGGCGGCGUGCUUAACACAUGCAAGUCGAACGGAAAGGCCCUGCUUUUGUGGGGUGCUCGAGUGGCGAACGGGUGAGUAACACGUGAGUAACCUGCCCUUGACUUUGGGAUAACUUCAGGAAACUGGGGCUAAUACCGGAUAGGAGCUCCUGCUGCAUGGUGGGGGUUGGAAAGUUUCGGCGGUUGGGGAUGGACUCGCGGCUUAUCAGCUUGUUGGUGGGGUAGUGGCUUACCAAGGCUUUGACGGGUAGCCGGCCUGAGAGGGUGACCGGCCACAUUGGGACUGAGAUACGGCCCAGACUCCUACGGGAGGAAGCAGUGGGGAAUAUUGCACAAUGGCGGAAGCCUGAUGCAGCAACGCCGCGUGCGGGAUGACGGCCUUCGGGUUGUAAACCGCUUUCGCCUGUGACGAAGCGUGAGUGACGGUAAUGGGUAAAGAAGCACCGGCUAACUACGUG
rnacentral:rRNA from 1 species